rnacentral:misc_RNA from 1 species
GUGAAUCAUCGAAUCUUUGAACGCAAAUUGCACUCUCUGGUAUUCCGGAGAGAAUGCCGGUUGGAGGGUCAGUUUAAAUAAAAAUCGGUUUGGUUGCUGCGGUUUGUGGUGACGCACCGGAUUUGGGUCGUCUUGCCUUCGGUUAAGUGACCUAAAAUUUUGGAUUAUUUUUUUCGAACGUAUUUAAAUGAUUUUACGUACGUUUUCGAUAUCGAAUACUAUGGGUUGUUAUCCUCAU